rnacentral:rRNA from 1 species
UACGAAGGGGGCUAGCGUUGCUCGGAAUCACUGGGCGUAAAGCGCACGUAGGCGGAUUGUUAAGUCAGGGGUGAAAUCCUGGAGCUCAACUCCAGAACUGCCUUUGAUACUGGCGAUCUUGAGUCCGGGAGAGGUGAGUGGAACUGCGAGUGUAGAGGUGAAAUUCGUAGAUAUUCGCAAGAACACCAGUGGCGAAGGCGGCUCACUGGCCCGGUACUCGACGCUGAGGUGCGAAAGCGUGGGAGCAACAGGG